rnacentral:tRNA from 2 species
ACUCUAGUAGCUUAAACCACCAAAAGCAUUGGUCUUGUAAACCAAAGAAUGAAAACCACAACCUUCCUAGAGUA